UUUAUUUAGUUUCUAAAAUCCAAUUAGCUAGAUAUUUUAUUUGAUUUUGUUUUUAUAUUUAAGUAGUUGAGUUUUGGAAAGUUUUUAUAUUUUGUUAAUAGAAAUAGAUAUGAGGACUUAAAGGGUUUAUAUUUAGGUAGUGCUUGAGCCAAGGAAAAUGAUAGUCCACUAUCUUGACCCUAUGCAUCACAAACCAUGUGAGGACUUAAAGGAUAUCGUAAACAUGGCUCUUCGAAUAUCUGCAAAGAAAACAUCUAAGAGGGAGCCAUCUUAGCAACUAGUGCAGGUGACAUCCAAAAAUUUUUCUUUACACAUUAGCUUAUGCAUUUGCACCAUUUAUAUAUGUGAGUACUAAUGUUAUUUUAUAAUUGAUCGAUUACUGUCCAAGACAAGAAGGAGGGUUCGAAUGUGGCUACUUUGUUAUGAGAUUCAUUAAAGAGAUAAUUUUUGAUCCUACAAUUAUUGCUUCAAAGGUAUUACUUAUUUAAUGAAUUGUACAUAGUUUUAGGCUUCCAAAUGUUAUGCAUUUUAAUGUUAUUUUCUUAUUUGAUUUCAGUUUGGUAAUAAAAAAAACAUAUUCUCAAGUAGAAUUCGAUGAAAUUAGAGGAGAAUGGGCUACUUUUGUGCUACAACUAAUCAUGAAUCAUGUUGAUGCAUCAUGAUCACCAUGCAUGGUAUACACUCUUGGGAGGGUGAAAUGGAGAAUAAAAAGAAAGAAGAAGGCAACAAGAUUUUGGGUUUUUAAAUGCAACUCUUAUGUCAUACGUUGUAGGACAUAAACGUUACUUUAAUUGCAACUGAGAAAUUUAGAUUUUUAGAUGGGACUUCUAUGUCAUUUUAUGGUUAGCUGGUUUUAUGCUUAUGAAAUGGAGGUAUACAUGAAUCUUGGGAUCUUUAACAUUUCUAAAUCAUGUUUUGGUA